GACGAACGCUGGCGGCGUGCUUAACACAUGCAAGUCGAACGGAAAGGCCCUGCUUUUGUGGGGUGCUCGAGUGGCGAACGGGUGAGUAACACGUGAGUAACCUGCCCCUGACUUUGGGAUAACUUCAGGAAACUGGGGCUAAUACCGGAUAGGAGCUCCUGCUGCAUGGUGGGGGUUGGAAAGUUUCGGCGGUUGGGGAUGGACUGGCGGCUUAUCAGCUUGUUGGUAGGGUAGUGGCUUACCAAGGCUUUGACGGGUAGCCGGCCUGAGAGGGUGACCGGCCACAUUGGGACUGAGAGACGGCCCAGACUCCUACGGGAGGCAGCAGUGGGGAGUAUUGCACAAUGGGCGGGAGCCUGAUGCAGCAACGCCGCGUGCGGGAUGACGGCCUUCGGGUUGUAAACCGCUUUCGCCUGUGACGAAGCGUGAGUGACGGUAAUGGGUAAAGAAGCACCGGCUAACUACGUG
rnacentral:rRNA from 1 species